AAAAGGGUUCGAGUGAGGCAAUGUUGAGGCACAAAAAAUAAGGGGGAGGAAAUAUAUGGAAAAGAAAGAGGUGGUGUGAAUGAAGAUGCGGAGAGAAUGAAGGGGAGUGACCAUAGUAGGAAGAAUACUUGAGAGUUAUAGAGCAGAUGCAGCCAAAGUUGUUUUGGGCAUCAAUGCUGCAGAUGGAAUUGCUGCAAGGACUGAAGAGAUGGUAGCAACGUCAGAGGGAGUGUCUCUGCACCUAUGGAUGGAUCAUGGAUGGCUGUGUUGGGUUUACUACUCAUUAUUGUUGCAUUGGAGUCCAAGUUGCAAGGAUUUGUUUUUUCUUCAUCCAUUCUAUCUACAAGGUUUUGUGCUGCUUCUGGAAAGUUAUAAUUUUUCUCUUUGAGGGUGUGCUUCACCAACUUUGUAAGUUGGAAGCUUAUUGAUGUCUCUUGUAGAGGUAUUCUUUUGUUCUUGCAAUUUUUUUGUUGCUGUGGGCCUC
rnacentral:lncRNA from 1 species